AGGAGUUUAGGUUAUAUAGACCAGAGGCCUUCAAAGCCUCAAGUAAAUAUUAUUAUUUAACUCCUG
rnacentral:tRNA from 2 species